GCUCUUGUCACACUCGCUCCAGGCACCCCAGUCACCCACCUGGCAGUCCAGCACUAGAAGAAAGAUGACCAGCGUUGCCAGAUAGAGCGGAGAAGGCUUCAAUCUUUGAAGCGAGGAAUAAGAACAGCUUUAUUGACCUUUUUGUUCCGACAUGGCCGACCAGCGGCCGGGCGAGCGAUGAACCAGGAUUCGUUCCAAGUGAUUUGCCCAAAGGCGUCGGGGCAAUAUCCUGGCGGGCGUGGGAGGACGAGGAUGGGGUGAUAAUUUCGCGCAGUGCACAAAGGCAAUUUCUAUUUUCAUUUUGCCCAACGCCCCUGCUCCUGGCAGCCCUGGAAGUCCUGCCCCCGUCCUGGCACCAGGACCCCCCCCCCCAUCAUCAUCAUCAUCAUCAUGCCAUUGGCUUUUUAUUGUGGCCGGCGUGGAAUUAACAGAAAGCAGGACGCACAGCAGAGCAGAGCAGAAAAAGGACUAAAAAGGACAAGAAGGCGUCGUCGCUGGAGUCGCGAACAAAGCGCCCAGGAUAAUAGAACUAAGUGCAGGCGCGCUGCUAGAUGGCAGCUCUGGAGGGUGGAAUAAAACUAAAGUAGUUAAAAUUAUGAUUGCAUUGGCUCCAGCACCAGCUCCAGCUCCAGUUCCAGCUUCAUUGCCACCUCCUUGUUGGUUGGUCCUUUUUGGUCCUUUUGCGAAGCCUUUGCCCCGACUUUGGAGCAGCUCCUGCUACUGCUCCUGCUCCUCCUGGUGGUGGUGUUGAAGCGUUUAGCAUAUUGUACGGAGCCCAUGAAUGCGAAUGCGGGCAAAGUUUCGCCACAGCCAAGGACUUUGGGCCAGUACACUGCAAGAAAUACUUUACUAUACUAUGCAAGUACUUCACAACACUCCCCAAUCCUUAAUCCUUUUUUGCUUGCAGUGAUAUCCUUUUUUGUUUUUUUUUUGUGUGAAAACAGCUUGACUCUACGCGACUCUGGGGCUGCGCUUGUUGUGGCAAUAAAUGGCAUUAUGCUGCUUAGCAAUCAUGCCACUUGAUUGUUGUGGCGCAGCGACAAGGAGCUGAAAAUUAGAUGGCCACCAGGAGGAGGAGGAGGAGGAGGAGUCAGUAGCCAGGACAUGGCAACUAUAAGCCAGGAGAGAGAGAGGGAGGCCGGCGGCCGGUGGCCAGGAGGCACUAGCUUUCAGUUAAAGAGCACUUGCAUUCACUUGGACGCUUCAUACCUUCGUCCUGCCGCCUGAACAGGACCUGGCCAAAGGAUAAUGAAAACGGCAAGUAGCACCCACAUACAGUCCUGCUCCUGAUGACUGAUAAUUGAGGACAAGACUGUUGGAAACAGAUUUCGGAUUAGGUCUACGGCUUAUGGCUUAUGCCCGAACUCAAUCGAUAAUGGAGUGCGGAAAAGGACAAUAACAUUCCAGAAUCGCAGCAGCUGCACUCGACUCGAGCACUUGUCACUGGCUUGUUGCAGAUUCCAUUCCCAUUACUACUGGAUGUUGCAUGUUGCAUACUGCAUGUCGUUUGGCAGUUGUUGCAACUGGGACCGAGACUGUGCCUCUGACUGUGUGGAACUGCACUUGGGGCUCCUUGGGGCUCUGAUGCACCGCAUAACUCACUGUCGGACGCUGUGGGAGUGUGGAUGUUGCAAGGACAUUGGUCAUUGGUGGCAGAAGGGCACAACGAUGACGGCAGGACACCCAGACAGCCAGCAAACGGGGCAAACAACAGAAGCGACGCGACGGCGGCAGCUGGGAGUGGAAAAUUCUCGGGGCAUGCCACAAAACUGGGCAGCCAACUGGCCGCAACACCAGGCCAUGGUUAUUUGUGGUCAGCGAAGUAAAACAAAUGGCGUCAACUGUGGCUGGCAGUUAUUUCAGCUGCACUUCAAGAAUUUUCAUGGCAUUUCUGGCUGAAAUAAGCAAGGCCUAGAGCCAUAGAGGGCGCUGCUGCAUUACGUACGGCUCAGAAAGCUUUAGAGGCUAAUAGUAACUGUAAGCUUGUAUAAAUAAGGAAGGACUAGCGGCAAAGGAGCCUUAGAGGGCGCUGUCGCAUAAUGUACGUGUGAUAGUGAGUUGUAUCUCAGAAGUAUGUGUUUUUUAAACUUAAUUGCCUAUCUUUUUGAAUAUUUUAAAUGCUAUUUUAGAUGCUUUAGAAGCUAAUAGUAACUGUAAGCUUGUAUAAACAAGCAAGGACUAGCGGUAAAGGAGCCUUAGAGGGCCUGUCGCAUAAUGUACGUCUGAUAGUGACUUGUAUCUCAAAAGUAUGUGCUUUUUAAACUUAAUUGCCUAUCUUUUUGAA